GACUGGUCCAAAGGUAGUAAGUUAUCUCAAUUGAUUGUUCAUAGUCAGUUAGAGAUUGAACUCCUUGUUGUACUCUUUCUCCCCUUCUUACUACUGCACUUGACUAAAAA
rnacentral:Y_RNA from 1 species